GUAGGGAAUCUUCGGCAAUGGACGAAAGUCUGACCGAGCAACGCCGCGUGAGUGAAGAAGGUUUUCGGAUCGUAAAACUCUGUUGGUAGAGAGGAACGUUGGUGAGAGUGGAAAGCUCAUCAAGUGACGGUAACUACCCAGAAAGGGACGGCUAACUACGUGCCAG
rnacentral:rRNA from 1 species